GACGAACGCUGGCGGCGUGCUUAACACAUGCAAGUCGAACGGAAAGGCCCUGCUUUUGUGGGGUGCUCGAGUGGCGAACGAGUGAGUAACACGUGAGUAACCUGCCCUUGACUUUGGGAUAACUUCAGGAAACUGGGGCUAAUACCGGACAGGAGCUCCUGCUGCAUGGUGGGGGUUGGAAAGUUUCGGCGGUUGGGGAUGGACUCGCGGCUUAUCAGCUUGUUGGUGGGGUAGUGGCUUACCAAGGCUUUGACGGGUAGCCGGCCUGAGAGGGUGACCGGCCACAUUGGGACUGAGAUACGGCCCAGACUCCUACGGGAGGCAGCAGAGGGGAAUAUUGCACAAUGGGCGGAAGCCUGAUGCAGCAACGCCGCGUGCGGGAUGACGGCCUUCGGGUUGUAAACCGCUUUCGCCUGUGACGAAGCGUGAGUGACGGUAAUGGGUAAAGAAGCACCGGCUAACUACGUG
rnacentral:rRNA from 1 species